rnacentral:rRNA from 1 species
AAGCUCGUAGUUGAAUUUCGGGGUUAGUAGGUUGGUCAUGCCUCUGGUAUGUACUGGUCUCACUGAUUCCUCCUUCCUUAUGAACCGUAAUGCCAUUAAUUUGGUGUUGCGGGGAAUUUGGACUGUUACUUUGAAAAAAUUAGAGUGUUUAAAGCAAGCUAACGCUUGAAUACAUUAGCAUGGAAUAGUGAAAUAGGACGUUCGAUCUUAUUUUGUUGGUUUCUAGGAUUGGCGUAAUGAUUAAUAGGGAUAGUUGGG